CCCUUAGAUGUUCUGGGCUGCACGCGCGCUACACUGAUGCGUUCAACGAGUUUAUGACCUUGCCCGAUAGGGUUGGGUAAUCUUUUUAAAUCGCAUCGUGAUGGGGAUAGAUUAUUGCAAUUAUUAAUCUUCAACGAGGAAUUCCUAGUAAGCGCGAGUCAUCAGCUCGUGCUGAUUACGUCCCUGCCCUUUGUACACACCGCCCGUCGCUCCUACCGAUUGAAUGGUCCGGUGAAAUCCUCGGAUCGAGCCGUGGGGCAACUCCGGUUCGAGAAGUUGAUUAAACCUUACCAUUUAGAGGAAGGUGAAGUCGUAACA
rnacentral:rRNA from 1 species